GUCAGGAUGGCCGAGUGGUCUAAGGCGCCAGGUUUAAGCUCUGGUCCUCAUGAGAGGGCGUGGGUUCGAACCCCACUUCUGACA